rnacentral:sRNA from 1 species
ACGGAUUUCCUCCCGGAUUAAGAGG